rnacentral:rRNA from 1 species
GGGUCAGUAGGUUGGUCGUGCCACCGGUACGUACUGGUCUCACUGAUUCCUCCUUCCUGAAGAACCGUAAUGCCAUUAAUUUGGUGUUGCGGGGAGACAGGACUGUUACUUUGAAAAAAUUAGAGUGUUUAAAGCAAGCUAAUGCUUGAAUACAUUAGCAUGGAAUAAUGAAAUAGGACGAUCGAUCCUAUUUUGUUGGUUUCUAGGAUUGACGUA